CACCCCCCGACCCAGACCCAGACGUGAGAGUGUGAGACGGCCACACCCCCACUCCCCCUGUCCCCCAAACGCGUCCUUGAUCCUUCUCCUUCCCCAGACGGCCAAACCCAUGCGCGACAGCUUCCCUCUCCAAAUCCCAGAUCGAAGCCUUCCUCAGUUCCUCCAAAUCCCACCGCCGAACAGAGGAAAACCCCCACUGCCGGUGCACGACCCAGCCUCCACCCAGCAGCAUUUCUGGAGCCACCUCUGACUACGCCACCUCCGACCUCGCCGCCUCCAGUCCACCCAGCAGCGUUUCUGGAGCCACCUCCAACCUCGCCACGUCCGACCUCGCCGCAUCCAGUCCACCCAGCAGCGUUUCUGGAGCCCACCCACCCAGCCACCAAUUGUCCGAUUCAAGUGCAUAUGGAGCCCGAGCCAUCUAUUCAGGUUGGUUUGCAUUAAGAAGUUUAGCUAUUUUGUUGGAGAAGACACCAUAACUUUGCUAUCAGUUUAAUGACAAUUUAUUUUUAUUUUCAGUUGUGUUGAUUGUUAAACUAUUAAACUUCUUUAAUUGUCGUAUUUGAAUUCUGUUGUCGUUAUAUUUCAUUAGAUUAAGACUUUGUUACCUAUUGUGUAUUUCGGUUUGUCGAUUUCAAUAUUAUGACUUUGC